ensembl:snoRNA
CAUUGUUGAAAAUCACCUGGGGCUCUGGCUGUGGCAGUGGGUGAGAUUCAGCUCCUGGAGCCACCGGGGGCCUCAGCUCACUGCUCACUCUCGGUGUGGGGAGGUGAAAUCCAGGCCACUCAGGGC